rnacentral:rRNA from 1 species
CGGGAGGCAGCAGUGAGGAAUAUUGGUCAAUGGACGGAAGUCUGAACCAGCCAAGUAGCGUGCAGGAUGACGGCCCUAUGGGUUGUAAACUGCUUUUGUAUGGGGAUAAAGUUAGGGACGUGUCCCUAUUUGCAGGUACCAUACGAAUAAGGACCGGCUAAUUCCGUGCCAGCAGCCGCGGUAAUACGGAAGGUCCAGGCGUUAUCCGGAUUUAUUGGGUUUAAAGGGAGCGUAGGCUGGAGAUUAAGUGUGUUGUGAAAUGUAGACGCUCAACGUCUGAAUUGCAGCGCAUACUGGUUUCCUUGAGUACGCACAACGUUGGCGGAAUUCGUCGUGUAGCGGUGAAAUGCUUAGAUAUGACGAAGAACUCCGAUUGCGAAGGCAGCUGACGGGAGCGCAACUGACGCUUAAGCUCGAAGGUGCGGGUAUCAAACAGGAUUAGAUACCCUGGUAGUCCGCACAGUAAACGAUGGAUGCCCGCUGUUGGUACCUGGUAUCAGCGGCUAAGCGAAAGCAUUAAGCAUCCCACCUGGGGAGUACGCCGGCAACGGUGAAACUCAAAGGAAUUGACGGC